UACAGAGGGUGCAAGCGUUAAUCGGAAUUACUGGGCGUAAAGCGCGCGUAGGUGGUUUGUUAAGUUGGAUGUGAAAGCCCCGGGCUCAACCUGGGAACUGCAUUCAAAACUGACAAGCUAGAGUAUGGUAGAGGGUGGUGGAAUUUCCUGUGUAGCGGUGAAAUGCGUAGAUAUAGGAAGGAACGCCAGUGGCGAAGGCAACCACCUGGACUGAUACUGACACUGAGGUGCGAAAGCGUGGGGAGCAAACAGG
rnacentral:rRNA from 1 species